GUACAAUAAGCUAAAUAAGGGCGUAUGGGGGAUGCCUAGGCUCUCAGAGGCGAAGAAGGACGUGAUAAGCUGCGAUAAGCUGCGGGAAGUGGCACAUACACUUUGAUCCGUAGAUUUCCGAAUGGGGCAACCCGGCAUGUUGAAGACAUGUCACCUAGUAAUAGGAGCGAACCCGCUGAACUGAAACAUCUAAGUAGGCGGAGGAGAAGAAAACAAUAGUGAUUCCGGUAGUAGUGGCGAGCGAACCCGGAAGAGCCCAAACCAAUGUUGUUACGGCAAUAUUGGGGUUGUAGGACCACGAGAUCGAAUGCCAAUUGAAUCAGAACACUUUGGAAAGAGUGACCAUAGAGGGUGAUAGUCCCGUAAGAGUAAGAGCGGUUAUUUGUAGUGGUAUCCUGAGUAGCGCGGGGCACGUGAAACCUUGUGUGAAACUGGCGGGACCAUCCGCCAAGGCUAAAUACUCCUGAGAGACCGAUAGUGAACCAGUACCGUGAGGGAAAGGUGAAAAGUACCCUGAAUAAGGGAGUGAAAGAGAACCUGAAACCAUACGCUUACAAGCGGUCGGAGCCCCUUUGGGGGUGACGGCGUGCCUUUUGCAUAAUGAGCCUACGAGUUACCGUUGCUAGCGAGGUUAAGUGAUUCAGUCACGGAGCCGUAGCGAAAGCGAGUCUGAAUAGGGCGCUAUAGUUAGUAGUGGUAGAC
rnacentral:rRNA from 1 species